UUUUGCAUAUACUUAUUUUAAUAUAUUUAGAUGUAGAAGUACUUAACUGCAUAAAGCCACAGAUGUCUGAAAGCCUCUCAGGGAUGACAGCAUGCAUGGAUGACAUUGUAGCCUGGAACACUGCUUUUUGUCUGCAUUAGGAAUGACUACAAUUAGUAACGGAAAUUAAAGACGGGAAACCACCUACGUCGAGAAGAGAUUUACUACAGAUGGAGCCGUGCACAAUAAUUCUGAAAACCAAGCAAUAUUUAACAUUCAGAUAAAAUGAAGAUAAGUCUGAAAUUCAGCCACUCAAAGGCAGCUUAAAGUAGGUCAGCGAGUUUAAGCCCAGCACUGCAGUUUUAAUAACUCACAGAAAGUGUCUGCAUGUUUUUCAAAACCCAGGUGCUGCCUAAAGCCAUUGCUUUGCAGCAAACCCAGAAGUUGACUGAACAUCCGAAAGUCUGAUCCAAGACUUUCCAGUGCUGCAAUAACAUAGAAAAUGAGACUAAAUCAUUAUCCUUUUUUAAGAAGUGCCCAGUCAGGGAAAAAUGUAAAAGGGUUAAGCUUCAGCUGACACAGAACUUGCUUCUAACGUGAGCUUAUUAGGAGCAAGAAUAUGUCUCUGUGAGAGCAAGACAAGCAUUAAGCUUUGCUGUGGCCUUUCAGUCACACCAUUACGCUUCUCUUUGGGUUUUGUGCAGUUUCAAGAUGCUUUCUUCUGGCACAGUCUUGUCCAUCACUGGCUUCCUUGAUCAAAGGCAGAGCCCAUAGGCCAGGGCUACCAAAAGCCUAUCUGCAUGUGACACGGUCAGUACUUCGUUGCAGAUGGUGGAGAAGAAAAGGUAGCAAGUAUUCAGCUUCCAGUGGACGGUGUAGGUAGUCUGACAUAGGUAAUGGCUACCUGAGAGCCCAAGCAGGGCACCCAGAAAUGUAGGUUGGAGCAGGCUGGGGCAGAGCUAUCAGAUGUAACUGUGCUGGUCACCAUUAGGAAAAACAUGCUGCAGGGUCCCCGUUGCCUCACGUGGACUCAAUUCUUUUAAUAAAAAUAGUGUUAACUUGCUGCUGGAGAACACUCGCAUUGACCACUUGCUGGGGCUGGCAUGUGGCUUCUCCCUUCUUGCAUUUCAGAAAAGCUGGUAUUUCUUCCUUCCUGAAGACACAGAAACUUCUGUUUUUGGCAUGCUGUUUCUCUGUGGGUCUUCAGAUCAAAACAAGAGACCUGGUCAAAAAGAAAAAAAGAAGAAAACAGAAAAAAAACCCAACGUCAAAUAAAGUGACACUGUGUUGCUGGCUAGAAUCCUUAAUCUCUCCUGAUAGCACAGGAAGGCUUGUAGACUUCCACAGCAAAGGACUCAGGUUGGUAUUUAAAUUUAUUUGAGAAGAAAUCAACCUAAAAAUAUAAGUGAAGACUGAUGCUGUUUUUUAGGUUAGCUCUGCCUCAUUUAGUGAGCCUCGUUACAUGUUCAAUGACAUAAAACCAGGUGGCAGUUGACACACUAAACCAGUCUAAACAGGUCACAGUCUGCUCCAAUGUCAAUCAUUUGCCUGAGGUCAGGAAGUAAAAGUAGGCCAUGACUUCAUUUCUAAAAACAUCAGAUUCAUUUUUGUUCCUUGUUAGUUUUGUUCGACUCUCCUGUUAAAAUACAGUGGUCACGUGCAUCCCGUGUGAGCAGCUGAACUUGAGAACGUGUCUGCAGGAGGAACCCGUGCACUGGAUUGCUGCUGCUCCCUGUGCAGUGCCCACCCUUCCUUCUCCUGGCUGCAGCGGGGUGGUUGUUUAUUAUCCCUCCUGCCUCCAGCAAAAAGCAUUUCAGAUUUCACAGAACAACUCUCUCAAACAGCUCUCCUUAUGUAUGCCAAAGGUAUACAGAGUUGUGAAACACGCUUAUGGGGAUAAAAGUCUUAGCUAAUACAACGGUAUGAUGCUCUUUUCUUUGAUGCGGUUCUGCCAAUGUGUACUGCCUGAUAGACACCUGCGGUGCCUCUUUUUCAGCAGGGUAAUAACAGUAAUACAUAUCUUAGCUGAAGUAGUUUUCUGGAAGCAUAACAUACAAAGCAGACAUCCAAAAACAGAGAGAAAACAAGAGAAGCAUUGCAAAACUGCAUUUUCUAGCAAACAAAAGCAUAGAUUAUGUCCACUGGACAAAGCUUAAUUGUACAAUCCUACCAGGUUCAUUUCUUGGUUUCCUACCUGCAAGUAAUUACUCCUUAGGGAAAAAAAAAAUAAAUAAAAAAAAUCUUGAAAUAUCAAAAUACAAAAUAUUUUAAAAUAUUUACUUUUUUUUCCACCUCCAUUUCAGCUGUAAGGCCAGGAGUUAAAGAGCAGGGUUCUCCUUUUCAAUCUCAUGCUGUAAUAGAGUUGAAAGCAUUGAUGCAGCAAAAGAGAAUUGGCCUGAGAUUUUUGCACAGGGGACAUACCCCAACCUGGAUUUCCUUUAGUGUGCAGCACCACUUUUUCUAUGUGACACUUCAUUGUGUCAGUGAUGCUUUCACCAGGUAUUUGGGAGGCUUCUGCAAUAAAAACAUGGAUGACUGCUGAAUCAAGUGAAAAUUCAGCACAAUCCUUUUAGAUAAGAAGAUGAAGAACCCCUGACACAAGACUUUCAGUGAUAGUUUUCUAUUGCAUAUUAAAUAAAAUUACUUAGAAUCAUACUCCAAUUUUUAAUUUCAGGCACCUUCAUGGAUCAUCAGCAUUCCUAAAGGAUCUGAGGGUUACUUUAUUAAAAAUCAUGUUAGAGUGAAGAGGCAGUGGAGCCAUUUCAGCCAUCAUCAAAAGAACUCAGCCUCUGAGAUGAAGCACCCUGGCAAGAUGUUGGCCAUAAGAGAAGAAAAACUAAUAAAGGAACGUUCAUUGAUAGUUUCUUCUGAGAUACAGUUACUACAAUUUCAACUUUGCACAAAUGAUCUGCUUAAGAGGAUGCCAGCUCUUUCAUUACAAGUCACGAGGAUCAUCACAUGCUCCUUCCAUUGUGCCUGUAGCUCUUUCCCCUUCUCUGGUUCAUGCUGCGUAACCUCCUUUCUCUCCUACGUCACCGGCCCUGCAAUCCUUUUCCUUUUCUAAUACAUGCACGGCAAUAAUCUCCUGCUAACGCACCAGCUCUGACUAAGAUAAUAAGCCCUGUCAC